UCUCUUAAUUCUAAAAAAAAAAUGAACGCUGCAUCUCCCUCCUUCUCACAACAGCGCUCGACUCUCUGUCUCUCAAUCAAGAAAGGAAUCGCUGCUCACAUCUCUCUCUAUCUCGCUCGAUCUCCUCCGGCCGCUGCUGCUCUGCUCUGGGCCGCGACCAGCGGCGCUUGGCCUUCGGCCGCGCCGCCCCGCUCAGCCGCCUCCCUUCUGAAGCUGUUGCCGCUCCGCCUGAAGUCGACGAGUCAGCCGUCGCCGAGUCUCCCCUUUGCGGCAGAUCCGCCGCCGCGGUUCCCUUUCCGGCGAAACCGGCAUCAAGUCGUUGGAGUACCGGCGAGGCCGCAACCGGCCACUGGCGCUGCUCCCUUCGUCUCUGACUUCCUCUCUUUUUCCAUCAUUUCCUCUCUAUCUCUGAUCGUGCUCUCUCCUCUCAAAUUGCAUGACCUCAGCCGUGCAUCCUCCUCAACAGGCUCUGCCAUGGCCGAGUCCGGUGAGGUUGGCGUCGGCAUCAGACCUUGCCCAAAACUCUCAUCUUCCGUGUUUCUUCUCUGAAAUUUCAACUCCAGAUUAUACCCCCAAUCGAACCCUAAUUCUUUCAUCAUGGACUACCACCGCUGCUGUCCUCUUCGGUGUAGACGGGCUCGAUGCCUCAUCGCGCCGUUGUUGUUAUAGUCAGAUUCCAGCGAGGCAGCAAGGGAUCGCCGCCGUCAUUCCCUCGGCUCGACUGAACAGAUUGCAGCUGAAAUAAACUCUCUAUGAUUUUUGGUGCAUAAAGGAAGGAGGGGGAAUCGUAGUUGGUGAUUUUCAGGCUACUAUGAAGCCCUCAAUUUAUAGGCAGAUUAGGCCGCAAAACUUGAAAACUAUUUACAGCAAAUGUGGAAAUUUUGCUGCAACUUUUGACAAAAAUGAAAUUGGUUGGUGGCUGCCAUAAUUUUUUUUUGACUAAUAGUGGAAUUUCAUGUGAGACUUUGAAAAGUGGAGUACUCAUAGGGUGCGUC